UCCUACGGGAGGCAGCAGUGGGGAAUAUUGGACAAUGGGGGCAACCCUGAUCCAGCCAUGCCGCGUGUGUGAAGAAGGCCUUAGGGUCGUAAAGCUCUUUCGCCUGUGAUGAUAAUGACAGUAGCAGGUAAAGAAACCCCGGCUAACUCCGUGCCAGCAGCCGCGGUAAUACGGAGGGGGUUAGCGUUGUUCGGAAUUACUGGGCGUAAAGCGCGCGUAGGCGGAUUAGAAAGUUGGGGGUGAAAUCCCGGGGCUCAACCCCGGAACUGCCUCCAAAACUGCUAGUCUAGAGUUCGAGAGAGGUGAGUGGAAUUCCGAGUGUAGAGGUGAAAUUCGUAGAUAUUCGGAGGAACACCAGUGGCGAAGGCGGCUCACUGGCUCGAUACUGACGCUGAGGUGCGAAAGUGUGGGGAGCAAACAGGAUUAGAUACCCUGGUAGUCCACACCGUAAACGAUGAAUGCCAGUCGUCGGAUAGUAUACUAUUCGGUGACACACCUAACGGAUUAAGCAUUCCGCCUGGGGAGUACGGUCGCAAGAUUAAAACUCAAAUGAAUUGACGG
rnacentral:rRNA from 1 species